rnacentral:misc_RNA from 1 species
GGAGGCAGAUACAGAUGGUGAUGGUGUCAUUAGCUUCAAUGAAUUUACUUCUGUAAUGGCAAAGUCUGCCAUGGAAUUCUUAGGCCUGGCUUUGUCAUAACAGAUUGAUGGUAUGUUGUUUUUGGGCAAUCAAUCAAUCAUUAUCAUUAUUAAUUGAUGUCAUUAAUUUUCUUACUAAUCUUAGAUUUUAGGGAUUAAUAGACUUGUUCAUAUAGGCAUCUGUUGGUGGGGGAGAUUCUUU